rnacentral:misc_RNA from 1 species
AUGGAAUCGCAAGAUCUCCCUUAAACCAUCGUGAACAUACCGAAACGUUGCCUCGGCGGGCGCCUGGUGCCUCUGGCGCCGGGCGUUCAGCCCGCCGGCGGCCCCCUACUCUGUCUCUGCAGCGUGGCAUCUCGAGAUAAACACAAAUGAAUCA